GUAGGUGGCAAGCGUUGUCCGGGAAUUAUUGGGGCGCAAAGCGCGCGCAGGUGGUUCUUUAAGUCUGAUGUGAAAGCCCCCCGGGCUCAACCGGGGAGGGUCAUUGGAAACUGGGGAACUUGAGUGCAGGAGAGGAAAGUGGAAUUCCACGUGUAGCGGUGAAAUGCGCAGAUAUGUGGAGGAACACCAGUGGCGAAGGCGACUUUCUGGCCUGUAACUGACACUGAGGCGCGAAAGCGUGGGGAGCAAACAGGAUUAGAUACCCUGGUAGUCCACGCCGUAAACGAUGAGUGCUAAGUGUUGGGGGGUUUCCGCCCCUCAGUGCUGCAGCUAACGCAUUAAGCACUCCGCCUGGGGAGUACGGUCGCAAGACUG
rnacentral:rRNA from 1 species